rnacentral:rRNA from 1 species
ACACGACUACAUUAGAUACCCGGGUAGUCCUAGCCGUAAACGAUACUCGCUAGGUGUCGGCCACGGUGCGACCGUUGUCGGUGCCGUAGGGAAGCCGUGAAGCGAGCCACCUGGGAAGUACGGCCGCAAGGCUGAAACUUAAAGGAAUUGGCGGGGGAGCACCACGACGGGUGGAGCUUGCGGUUUAAUUGGAUUCAACGCCGGAAAUCUUACCGGGACCGACAGCAACAUGAAGGCCAGGCUGAAGACUUUGCCGGAUUAGCUG